AGCCCAAUGAGGGGCUCGAAUCACCGACUGCGCGAUCAUGACCUGAGCUGAAAUCAAGAGUCAGACACUUAGCCGACUGAGCCACCUGGGGGCCCCAUAUUUCUUUUUUUGAUAAGGACUCUUCUUUGGUUUGGUUCACUCUUGACGGGUCAACAAAACCUGGUGGUUCAGAGCUUGGCUCUGGAUCUCCACUUGCUGGCCUCAGGUUUUGGGUCUCACAUUUCCCAGCUGUGCAACCUUGGGCAAUCUGCUUCACCUCUCUGUGCAUCCGCUCACUCAAACAAAAAUUGGACGGCAAUAACUGUUACUGUGCACCAGUGAACACAUGUCCCUUACUUAUAAGGGCUAGAACAGGUUAGCUGUUUCAGGAUGCCAACAAUCAGGAAAUACAUGGAGGACAGUCCCACGAGGUGCUGGGGCAUGAGGAAAUUAACAUUGUGCAAAAGAGCACCGGGCUGUGAGUGGGCAUUCUGUCCACCUCACCUACAACAUCACAGCAUCACGUGGCACAAACAUAAAGCAGUCAUUUUUAAAAGUCAAAACCAUGUCUUGAGCUGGGACUAUUUUCUCUCAUUUAAAGUUUUGGGAAUUUGCCAUGAGGUGCGAAAUAACCCACUGGUAUAUACUGGAUUCUUAGAGAGUGGUCCAUGACUCAGACUCCUCAAAGGAAGUAAGACUGCUCCACGCAAAGCCUUUAGAAGUCAUUUGUAGUCAGAGAAUGGGGAUAAAUUGGAAUCGCUCCGUGAAAAGAGAAAUUGCCUAUUUAAUAGGUGAGUUGAGGGCACUGUGGAAUCAUUUAUGGAAUUUUGGAAGAAGCGCCAUUGUAAAAUAAAUGAGGUAUCGUGGACAAGUCAGUUUUGUUAGUCAAAGGAAACCGUGAUCUAAAUUUCAGCAACCCAUAUAGAGGAGACGAAUAUGGACGUGGCGGGGAUGCACAGAUAUUCACAAUGAUCUCAUCUCGUAGACGUUAUCAGGAGCAAAUACUUUCUAGUAGGCUAUGGAACAUGUAUGUGUGGCAUGUUUGGAUUAUACGGCUUCUGUGCUUUGGAAUUAAAACCCAGAAGGGGAUGUAUACCCAUGGACAGAAACCCACAUACAAGAAAACUUUCAGGAGAGGCUUGGCUAUAUCUGCUCCCUGACUUCUUUCCUUCUUCCUGCUUCCUCGAGUCUAUCCCCGCUUCCUUGACCUUCUGCCUGCUGCUUUGCCCGACUGACCAAUCCUUCUCUUGGCUGGCUGGCUUGCUCCAUCCACAUGCUUAAGCACAGGACAUGCAGGUGCUACAGGCUAUUGGUUGGAGCCACAAGUACUCACACUGGCGAUGAGAAUGUGAAGUCCACAUAAUUUUCCCACAAGCACAAGAGUGGACAUGGAGAAAAAAAAAUCUAAGAAUGAGUGUAUUAUAUUGGGAAAAAAAAAACACACAGAAGAUCCUGUCUCUUGGACCACCGGCAUUGGCACCAUCCAGGAGUGUGUUAGAAAUGCAGGGUAUAAAAAAAAAAAAAAAAGAAAUGCUGAAUAUCAGACCCCAAACUGGACCUACUAAAUCUGAAUGCUUUGUUUUGCUUUUUUUUUUUUUUUAAUAUUUUUAUUUUUUUAGAGAGGGAGAGCUAGCAGGGGAGGGGCAGAGAGAGAGGGAGACACAGAAUCCAAUGCAGGCUCCAGGCUCUGAGCUGUCAGCACAGAGCCUGACGCGGGGCCUGAACCCACAGACCGUGAGAUCAUGACCCGAGCUGAAGUCGGGCGCUUAACGGACUGAGCCACCAGGGCUCCUCAUGAAUGUGCUUUUUUAGUAAGAUUGCUAGGGAGCUGUAUGUACAUUAAAAGUUUCAGAACCACUUCCCAGGAAACAGAUUAGAUUAAAACUCAAGUUCUUAUAGCAGCACAGCACAGCGUAGCAGUAAAAGCAUGGAACCUGAUGCUAGAAUGCCUAGGUUCACCACCUACAAUACGGAUCACACAACUUUCUUCACCUCUCAGAGACUCACUUUUCUCAUCUAUAAAAUCAGAAUGAUAAUAGUACUCCCCCAUUGGGUUGUAAUUGAAUUAAUAAUUGCAGAAUGCUUAGAACAGUGACUGGCACUUGGCAAUGAAGUGCCAUGUAAGCAUUGGAUAAGUAACCCGUUUCUGAAGCUCACGGUAACAUAGGCAAAAUGUUCUAGAACUUCUUUAUAAACUUUAUGGAGUGAUAAUCAAGGCCUACUUGACUCAUUUCUCCACAUUCUCACCCACUGCUUCCUUACUUCCUCUUUUGGGCUGCCUCUGAGCUGGGCAUAUAUAUCAACUCUGUGCUUAUUACUCUGUAAUGUAAUAAUUUAUCACUCUGCCUUCCACACCAUACUAUGAGCCCUUGGGAACAAGGACUGUAUCCUAGUCUUUUUGGUAUUGCUUCAGAGUCUGGCAUCUGAUAGUAGGCACUCGAUAAAUGCUUUUAUUUUUUAUUUUGAUUUUUUUAUAUUAAAAACAAUUUAUUGUCAAAUUGGUUUCCAUACAACACCCGGUGCUCAUCCCAACAGGUGCCCUCCUCCAUACCCAUCACCCAUCUUUCCCUUCUCUCGAUAAAUGCUUUUAAAAUGAAUGAACAGAUGUUUGAUUCAUCAUUAGUUCUUAAUUUUUCUCAAGGCUUAGACAUUUCUUUGUUUUUCUCAUGCAUUUUUCUCUUAAUAUUAUUUAACACCAUCAAUUUAUAUUCAUGGGGAACCUAUUGUAUAUAGCUGUACGUAUGUUUUCAUUCACUAAGUACAUUUCACGUUAUUCAUAUUAGGUUUGAAAGUGGUGCCUGAUAGUCCUGAUAAUGCAAAACCAAGCAGAUUUCUCUAACAUAAUUAUUCCAGGGAGAGUUUCUGCUCUAAGUGAGUCUGGCCUUGUAUCCUUCACUAACAGCAGGAUGUGACUUCUUCCAGUUUUAGCUCCCUUGCACACACAUUACGACGUGUGUUAUGCCCUGGCCAUUCGGACCUAAUUAAGGCAUACGUUCCUAUCUUUAAAGACUCAGCAAAAAACUAGCAAACCAAAUCCAGCAGCAACACACAAAAAGGAUUAUAUACCAUGAGAAAGCAGGAUUUAUUGCAGGAGCGCAAGGUUGGUUUAACGUCAGAAAAUCAAUUAAAUUAGUAAUAUGUUAUAGUGAGAGAAUAAAAAACAGAAAGUACACAAUCAUCUGAAGAGACCCAGAAAGACAACUGACAAAAUCUACCACCUUUUCGUGACAGACACUCAGCAAGCUAGGAAUGGAAGGGAAUUUCCUCCCACUGAUACAGAAAAUCUGUGAAAAACUGUCAACGAGGUGACUGAAUGGUCAAAGACUGAAUGCUUUCCCUUUAAGGCUGGGGACAAGAGAAGGAUGUCGCUCUCACCGCUUGUAUUCAACAUUCUGCUGGAGGUUCUUCAGGCAAAGGCAGUGGGAAUGACUGCUAAUAGAGUUCUUUUUGAGAGGAUAGAAAUGUUCUCCACUUAGAUUAUGGUGAUGUUGCACAACUCUGUAAGUAUACUAAAAACCACUGAAUGGUACAGUUUAAACAAGUAUGUUUUUAUGUUAUAUAAAUUCUAUUUCAAUGUAGCUGUUAAAAAGCCAUUAUAAUACAGGGAUGCCUGGUUGGCCAGUCAGUAGAGUGUGUGACUCUCAUUCUUGGGGUUGUGAGUUCGAGCCCUACGUUGGGUGUAGAGAUUACUUAAAAAUAAAAUCUUAGAGGCGCCUAGGUGGCUCAGUUGGGUGAGCGUCAGACUCUUGAUUUCAGUUCAGGUCAUGAUCUCAUGGUUUGUGGGCUCUGAGCGGAUGGUGUGGAGCCUGCUUAGGAUUCUCUCUCUCUCUUCUCUCUCUGCCCCACUCCUGCAUGCACAUUUAUUCUCUCUCUCUCUCAAAAUAAGUAAAUAAAAAACUUUAAAACCAUCUCAAGAAAAAGUCAUUAUAGUACAAAAUGACAAGUGACAAAUGUAAUAACCCCUAGCCUUUUCCUAAGCACUGAGGGCAUACCAGGCAGCAUACUAAAGUCUUUAAAUAUAUUAUGUCUGUAAUCACAUAUAAGGUAAAUGUUGCUAUUAUCUUGAUUUCACGGCUUUUGGCAGAUGGGGAAACUGAGGCUUAGAAAGCUUCAGUAAUCUCUCAAGGUUACACAACUAACAAGGGGUGAAGCUCGAAUUCAGUCUUAAAUACUAUGAGGCUACAAUGUAUAUACAGCACAAGCAAAGGGGAAGGAUCUUCCAAAUUCUGUUACUGAACACACGCUUUGAAUAUUAAAUAUUUAUGCCAUUGUAAUUCUGUGGACUUAUACAGGCCAUUUCCUUUGGUAUGAGGUUGGGGACUGGACUUGGACCAGGGCGCUCAUCUGAGGCAUAAAACGUUGAAGGGGGCUGAGCUGAAAGGCAGAUUCCGGCAUGGUAAGACCACACAACCUUUCAUUCAGCCUACAGCAAUGAUAGCGUCCUAUCCAAAAACUCUUCAGCACACACAUGCCUAACAGUAAGACCAUUCUCUUCCUUCAACUCCUGGGAAAACAACAGGAAACCGCAGACUUGCAGCAUCCCACUGUGGCUCUUAGGACACAACCCAGCUCAUGGAAAGUGAACAUUCAAGAAGAAGGGGCGGGACAACAGCAGGUGAAAAGGGGCGGUGGCAGAUUUUCCCUCCUGCUGCUAAAACAAUGGGCGGACUCAGUGAGCUCUGAAGCACGGGGACCUUCUCUUCUGUGGAGGUAAAAAGAAAGUUUUACCCUCCCUCAUUCUCUCUGGCCUCCCUUUUGCGACCUGUCUUUACUUUCAGGGUGUUUGGAUGUUUCUUUUGAUGCGUUUAGAAGUAUUGAAUCAGAAGGUGAAAAUAGGGCAGGGAGAGAAAUGGGAGUUUGCUGGGCUCAUCACCACUGUCACGUGUUGCCUGGGAAGUGACCUGCAAGGGAAGUAGGGACCUGCCACUGGUCUCCCUCCUGGGCCCUGAAUCCGUUUUUCUUUUUUUUUUUUUAAUUACAAAAGUAAGACAUCUUGUUUUUAUACAUUUCACCUCAAUUUCACCUCCCUGUCAAUUUCAGAGCAAUUGCCCUAUAGUUUUACUCUGGGAAAAAGCCCAAGUAAACUUCAGGCACUAGAAAAUAGCUAGCAGGAGACCUUUAGAAGAGAAAACAAAAUAAGCUCAGAAUACUUAAAAAAAACCCACGUGCAUGGAGCCUUCUACAAAUCUUCCGAAAGAGGUAGGGAGCCACAGGAAUGAAUGACAUAAAUAUUGUGAUGUCCAGGUACUGAGGACCUUCUCUGUGCCGGUAAGUUGGUUGACCUGCAGAGCAGAAGCUUGGGCUCAGGGUCCCUCGCUUUCAUGGAAUCCCUUGCAAGGUCCUUGUGUGGUAGGAUCCUCUCCCUAAGGAAAGAGAAAAACCAAAAACCCUCAAGGUAACCCGGCUAUGCGCGCAGGCGACAACAUCCCUCGUGACCUUUAACUGAGGCCACUUAAUCAGACUGCAUGUUUGUGUGUGUUACCAUACAUGGGAAACAGAGAAGUAAAAAACAUAUAAAAAAAUACACCGUGUGGCGUUUGGGCACACACCCAUCUGAGUGGUGCUGGCACGAAUAAAGCUGCUUCCUGGAGAGAAAAGCCCGGGUGUCAUGACUUUCUGUGCAUUUCCACCUCCUUUGCCACCGGGGAUGUGGAUCUCGGGGUGACAGGAGAGGCAGCUUACUUGGCACCAGAGGACCCACUUGAUCCGCAGGAGACCAGCCCUCCCAGCGCAGCAGGGUGGGGACCUGGGUGCGCAAUGGAACCCGUGAGGCCCAGGAGCCUGCUCAAGGAGCGCCCGUCAGACUGGUGAGAGCCCGGGUUCGUUUUGGCAGACCUGCCCCUAAGAGGCAGAAGGGGAGCCUGAUCACCUCCCAGCAUGGCCCUAGUAGGUCCAAGAGGGAUGAGGAAUGAAGCCGCAACUCUAAGGCGCUGGGCGCUGGCUGGCGGGUUGGAGUGGCCGUGUGACUGUGUGUGGGGAUUUGUCUCUCGUUCAUUUCCUGGGUCAGUGACUAUGAUCAUUAGAGACAACUGUCUCUGGUCGGUUUACCUCAGAACGGGGACUUUAAGGAAUAUUCCCAAGCAGCUGCUGAAACUCCUUUUGUUUCGGGGAAACUCCCUGUCUUCUCCAGAUUGACACGGACUGGGGGCGGGGGGGGGGGGGGGGGGACAAAACAAAACAAAACAGAACAAAAGAAACCUGGAGUCUGCUCCUCGGUCUGACCUGAUAAGAUUUAAACCAAGGAAUUCUCUUUCUCUGCCUUCUGCUGGCACCUCGCCUCUUCUGCCUGCCCUUCCCCCCCUCCUGUUUCUGCCCCACCUGGGGGGCGGCCUGCACAACUGGCUCCCCAAUGCCUCAGGCACCAUCAACUCCUCCUCCCACCCUAGAUGUCGAGGAGCGAAGACCCCGGAUGUCAGAUUUCCCCACCAACGUUCCAGGCCAAGUAUCCAAACGCAGUACGACGAUUAGAGGCAUCUCCAGAAAACUUCUUAACUAAAUUUUUCUCUCAGCCCCUGGGAUGCAUGUGGGAAAAAACUAAUUUUUUUCUCAUUCUUUCUGGAUAAUACCGGAGAGCCUUACUGCCUUGUAGGAAGGGACAUUAUAACUAAAUUAGAGACUAUAGUACGAGUAACUCCAGAACAAAUAAACAAUUGUAUGAAUUUUGGGAAAUUAUUGGAUAUUGUAGGCUGUAGAUACCAGGGUUCAGGAAAAUGGUUUGCCUGCUAUAUCAAUUAUUAAAGGAGACUCAAUCCCACCUACUCUCCAAAAAACAAACAAACCAGGGUCUGACUCCUAGGCACUGUCUCCAGCCCUUGGAAUGGUUCUAAACAGAGCAGGGCAAUUACUAUUACCAAGCUCACAGGGCUAAAAGAUCAUUAAAACACAGCAUCAGGCCUUUCAUUUAGGGAAGGACAAGAUUUAUCAAAUGGCCCAAAGGAUGUUUACUGGAAAAAAUUUGUCAAGGACAGUUCUGCAAGUAGUGUCAGCCUGUGAAGUAUAUCUUGGAAACAGUCCUCUCAACAAACUCUCUCUCCCAGGCAGUCAAAGAACUGGAGGCUAAUCCCCGGAAGACUGACAAUUAGGUUUCACUCAUAUGCCAAGGUCGAAGGAAUGCCAACAUCUGUUGGUAUGGAUUGAUACUUUUACUAAUUGAGUAAAGGCCUUCUUCUACAAGACAGAAAAGGCACAAGAAGUAAUAAAAGUUCUGCUUUAUAAAAUGAUACCCAGGCUUGGCUUACCUAAAAAUUUGCAAAUUAAUAAUGGUAAAUGGCUGCUUUGACUCUUUCUCUAGUAGAACUCCUGGCUCAUAGAAGAGUUUUACCCCUCAAAAUAAAGCAAACUGUCUGCUGAUGCUCAGCAAAACUCUAAAUAACACCUCAGAAGCAUUAGAUGUUUAAAAAAAAUGUUUUCUAAGUUGAUCUAGGGCCGAACUCUUGGAAAUAGAGCCACCAUUGGUUACGCGCUGCUCCUGUUCCUCCAUCACCUGAGUUAUGAGAGAUCCCCUGACAAAGUCAGGGUCUCUCCUAGGUUGUUUGACGGGUUUGGGAACUAAGGACAUUAUCUUAAGACGCCAUCUUGUUGGUCAGUAUAAUCGUUACUUUGUGUUUUUCUCUGUGUGUCUGCUGAUGUUUAUACCACCUCCUGCCUGCCAGCCUUCCUGUAGAAACAUGCUGUGGGCCACUCGACCGACCCACGGGUGGACUCUAACUGCUGUACCCCUCCCUACACCGCCCCCUGUCAGCUUGAAGAAGCUGCAACGGUCAUCGUCCCUGUUCCCUGACAGCAGUUAUAGGCCCUGUUCCAGGGGUGGAAUAAACAGGGAAAGGGUUAACAUGAGGCAGGGAGAGAUAAGGGACCGCAGCUGCAGGUGGGGGGCUGAAGAAGCAGACGGGCUUCUCCCCGUAUAGGAUCUUUGACAGGCACCCUCCCCCCAUUAUCAAGGGCAUAAGGGGGAGGAUCUAAAUGCGAUGGACAACCUAACCCUAAGACAACAGAUGCGGGCCCUCGGGCUCUGCCCUAAUCACCUUACACCUCUGGGUCAGGGAGCCAUUACCUGUGAGUCUGACCACAGACGCUCACCCCUUUAAACCAGGAGAUGCAAUAUGGAUAAAGGAGUGAAAUGUCCAACCCCUAAAACCCCUCUGGAGGGGCCCGUUCACUGUCAUUUUGUCCACCCCUCCUGCAGUAAAGGUGGCCAAAGUGUGUCCCUGGAUUCACCACAGCAGAGUGAAGCCGGCAUCUCGAAACUGGGCAUGCAUUCCUGACCCAUCAAUGCUGUGCAAGCUGACCAUACGGAAGAUUCUGCAACUCCAGAGGCUCCGGGAGACUGCAGCCCUGCUUUAGUCACUCCGGAAGCUGCCUGAUCUAUGCACAGCAGAAGGCUGAGGAACCGACCGUCUGGUGAGACAGAUGACCGUCUUAUUUUCUAUAUGUUUCCUUACUUGUGAUGCACUGUCGCCCUUGUUUCUCACUAUUACUGUGAUGUUUGCUCUACUCUUUGUCACAGGAUUGGCCUAGGCCGCCCCGGUUGUCUGCAAAUGUGGGGAGAGGUUUCUGUGAACACUCACCUUCCUCUUGUGGAUAGGAUACUUCAUUGGUAUCAAUGUGGGAAAACAGUGGCCAUAAGAGACUAGAAAAUUAGAUCCCCACAAACUUUAGAGUAAAACAAAAUACCCCAGUCCUACUACCGGGGUUUGGCUUCUCAAAAGCUCAAAUAAUUGGGAAGAACUUUCUUCCCUAGUGGGGGAAAAGUUCAUCGUCGUCUCUGUUAAAAACUUAACAUUCCUAGGCCAACUGAACUGCCAGGAAAACCCAGUGGUGGGGGCCCCAGAUCACCUUGAGCCAGAUCCCCAUCCAUUUUCUAACUUUUCUCAUCUCUGAGAGGCCUGGGACAGUUGUCAACACAGCCAUCAAAUGGCGGGUCCCAGGUGGACUGUACUAGAUAUGUGGAAGGACAGCUCUACAGUACUUCCCUUGGUCUGGUCACGGUCACGUGUGCUGGGAACUCUUCGUCCAUCUUUCUUCCUGCUCCCACUUGCCAGAGGGAAACAUUCGGGAGUCCAAGUGUAUGGGGAGAGGGAGACGCAAAGAAAGCAGCAUGCCUUACAAAUUGGCAAUUAAAAAGGCAAUAAAGGGCCUCCCGAGCAUAUAAUCCAAUAUUAUGGCCCUGCCGCCUGGACAGAGGACGGGUCCUCAGGCUACUGCACUCCCAUUUACAUGCUAAACCGCACAAUCAGACUAUAGGCAAUUAUAAAAAUUAUAACCAACAAAACUGCCAGAGUGGUUGACUUACUAGCCAAGCAGCAAACCAAAACACACAAUGCUACCUAUCAAAAUUGCUUGGACUUAGAUUACCUGCUUGCUUCCCCCCCCCCCCCCCC